rnacentral:rRNA from 1 species
UCAAGUGAAGAAGCGCAUACGGUGGAUGCCUUGGCAGUCAGAGGCGAUGAAAGACGUGGUAGCCUGCGAAAAGCUUCGGGGAGUCGGCAAACAGACUUUGAUCCGGAGAUCUCUGAAUGGGGGAACCCACCUAGGAUAACCUAGGUAUCUUGUACUGAAUCCAUAGGUGCAAGAGGCGAACCAGGGGAACUGAAACAUCUAAGUACCCUGAGGAAAAGAAAUCAACCGAGAUUCCCUUAGUAGUGGCGAGCGAACGGGGAUUAGCCCUUAAGCUUCAUUGAUUUUAGCGGAACGCUCUGGAAAGUGCGGCCAUAGUGGGUGAUAGCCCCGUACGCGAAAGGAUCUUUGAAGUGAAAUCGAGUAGGACGGAGCACGAGAAACUUUGUCUGAACAUGGGGGGACCAUCCUCCAAGGCUAAAUACUACUGACUGACCGAUAGUGAACCAGUACCGUGAGGGAAAGGCGAAAAGAACCCCGGAGAGGGGAGUGAAAUAGAACCUGAAACCGUAUGCGUACAAGCAGUGGGAGCCUACUUGUUAGGUGACUGCGUACCUUUUGUAUAAUGGGUCAGCGACUUAUAUUCAGUGGCAAGCUUAACCGUAUAGGGUAGGCGUAGCGAAAGCGAGUCUUAAUAGGGCGUUUAGUCGCUGGGUAUAGACCCGAAACCGGGCGAUCUAUCCAUGAGCAGGUUGAAGGUUAGGUAACACUGACUGGAGGACCGAACCCACUCCCGUUGAAAAGGUAGGGGAUGACUUGUGGAUCGGAGUGAAAGGCUAAUCAAGCUCGGAGAUAGCUGGUUCUCCUCGAAAGCUAUUUAGGUAGCGCCUCAUGUAUCACUCUGGGGGGUAGAGCACUGUUUCGGCUAGGGGGUCAUCCCGACUUACCAAACCGAUGCAAACUCCGAAUACCCAGAAGUGCCGAGCAUGGGAGACACACGGCGGGUGCUAACGUCCGUCGUGAAAAGGGAAACAACCCAGACCGCCAGCUAAGGUCCCAAAGUUGUGGUUAAGUGGUAAACGAUGUGGGAAGGCUUAGACAGCUAGGAGGUUGGCUUAGAAGCAGCCACCCUUUAAAGAAAGCGUAAUAGCUCACUAGUCGAGUCGGCCUGCGCGGAAGAUGUAACGGGGCUCAAACCACACACCGAAGCUGCGGGUGUCACGCAAGUGACGCGGUAGAGGAGCGUUCUGUAAGCCUGUGAAGGUGAGUUGAGAAGCUUGCUGGAGGUAUCAGAAGUGCGAAUGCUGACAUGAGUAACGACAAUGGGUGUGAAAAACACCCACGCCGAAAGACCAAGGGUUCCUGCGCAACGUUAAUCGACGCAGGGUUAGUCGGUUCCUAAGGCGAGGCUGAAAAGCGUAGUCGAUGGGAAACAGGUUAAUAUUCCUGUACUUCUGGUUACUGCGAUGGAGGGACGGAGAAGGCUAGGCCAGCUUGGCGUUGGUUGUCCAAGUUUAAGGUGGUAGGCUGAAAUCUUAGGUAAAUCCGGGGUUUCAAGGCCGAGAGCUGAUGACGAGUCGUCUUUUAGAUGACGAAGUGGUUGAUGCCAUGCUUCCAAGAAAAGCUUCUAAGCUUCAGGUAACCAGGAACCGUACCCCAAACCGACACAGGUGGUCGGGUAGAGAAUACCAAGGCGCUUGAGAGAACUCGGGUGAAGGAACUAGGCAAAAUGGCACCGUAACUUCGGGAGAAGGUGCGCCGGCUAGGGUGAAGGAUUUACUCCGUAAGCUCUGGCUGGUCGAAGAUACCAGGCCGCUGCGACUGUUUAUUAAAAACACAGCACUCUGCAAACACGAAAGUGGACGUAUAGGGUGUGACGCCUGCCCGGUGCCGGAAGGUUAAUUGAUGGGGUUAGCGCAAGCGAAGCUCUUGAUCGAAGCCCCGGUAAACGGCGGCCGUAACUAUAACGGUCCUAAGGUAGCGAAAUUCCUUGUCGGGUAAGUUCCGACCUGCACGAAUGGCGUAACGAUGGCGGCGCUGUCUCCACCCGAGACUCAGUGAAAUUGAAAUCGCUGUGAAGAUGCAGUGUAUCCGCGGCUAGACGGAAAGACCCCGUGAACCUUUACUGUAGCUUUGCACUGGACUUUGAGCCUGCUUGUGUAGGAUAGGUGGGAGGCUUUGAAGCGUGGACGCCAGUUCGCGUGGAGCCAUCCUUGAAAUACCACCCUGGCAUGCUUGAGGUUCUAACUCUAAUGUGAUGU